ACAAACUUUCGGAUAAGCAGCAGUUGACGAUCGUUGUUGUUUUUGGUUGUAACGAUAUCAUAUAUUUUCCUCUUCUGUACAGAGUAGAUUUGUUUUUCGUGUUUUGUUUUCUUCUUCAUGCUUCACUUUUCCACAUUGCAUUCCCAGCCCGCCCGCCCGCCCACUUGUUGCACCUAUACCUUUUCCCGGCAUUAUACGCUUGUUUUUUGUUGCUGUUGUAAUCCCCAUAUUAUUCUAAACACGCCACUACUGAAUCCCUGCCACUUCCUAAUAUAGCCAUUUGAAUUAGUCGUCUACCACCACCGUUGCCCACAGCAACGGCUGCUUUGCUGACGGCCUACCAGACCAACAGCAUCAGCCCGAUUUCACCACAGUAUGCCACGCACGCGAUUUUUGCUGCCCCAUUUCGCUUGUCUGUGUGUAGGUGCUCGUCCUUCCUCUCCGCUCAAGUCCUCACGUUUCCUCCAUAUUUCUCUUGGUUUUUUUGUUCAUUGAUCGCGUAUAAUAUCGUUUUUUGUUGCGUAUGGGUUUUUCGAGAUAAAUUACACUGACAAAUUGAUUUCUUUAAAUAUCUUGAUGUAUAUAUACGUGUGUUUUGCUUCAGAUUUUUGUAUAUAUAUAUAAGGUUUUCUUUUGUUUUGUUUUGUUUGUUGUAUAUAUGUAUAUGUAUAGUCUCUGUGAACGUUUCAUCAACAAUCUGACUGGAGAGCGAACGAACAUUGUAAUCGCCGCACACAGCGGUGGCGUGCGUGCGUUUUUCGAGAGAAAAAAAAACACAAAAAACGCACAUGAUGAUGAAGUAAUGCAAUUCUAUGCUACCUAAAACACCACCAACUUUACAACAGCCCUCAUCGACGGCUGGAGGUCUUUGCUUCCUCCACUCUGUUGAAUGACUAAACGCUGAAUUCGUUUACUACGUAAGUAUGUACACCGACAAUGAAAUCUAAACGCUUUUGACGCUAACGAACGCUUCCUUCUCUGUGUUUUAUAUACGGAGAGGGUAGAUUUUGUCGAAUUUUGUUCAUUUUUCGACUUCCGAUAAAUGUGUGUGUGUGUGUUUCUUUUGUAUUAAUGUUCUCGUUCAUAUAUUGUUUUUUUUUUAUUAUUACCAUUUCGUAGCAGAAACGACAAGGACGCUCAGAGAAUGAAGGACAUAACAAUGGAUAACUUGUGUGGUAGCAAACAAAUGGUAUAGGAUUGUUAACAACAGACGAAAGAUUAGAUCCUUCCUGAACAAGCCGGUGAAAAGAGGUGAAAAAAACGAUACAACAACGUGUGCCAAAUGAUAUGUGUCUGCCAAUAUAUGGGCUAAUCGCUUCAUAAGCUUUCGAUUGAUCGUGAAACAAAUUCCUAACGUGUUAGAUAAUAUCAUGCACAACAAACAUUCCGUUCUCCAUCACAAGUCUAUUAUACAUAGCUCCAUUUGCUUCAUCGAAUGUGUGUGUAUGUGGCUUUUGUGUUCAUAGUUCUAACUAAUUCAUGUACGGUUGAUUAUUUGUUCGAAGUGUUGAAAGUGUUGGUGUUUCCUUUAAUGAAUGUACACUAUUGUAAAGUAAAGUUUAAACAACCCCUUUUGCCCUGCUACACACAUAAGCUUUCAAUCACAAUUUGAUGGUAAGAACGAUCCUUACCGCAACAAUCCAACCUAAUCCACAGAAACGAAAAUGAAGCAUUGCACCAACUUAAGAUGAAGCAAAAAAAAACUCUCCUAACUCUAAGCGUUUCGUUACGUUAGUUUACUUUAACUAUUGCUUUUUUGUUGACGUUUUUCUUCUUCUUCUCGAUCUGCACACAACGAUGGGGUAAGUGAGUGUGUGUGAUAAGUGUUGGAGGGAUGUUGUACCGUCAAGGAGGAAGUAACAACAAACCGAGGCGAAAGCGAGAGAGUGAGAGUGAGAGUGAGAGUGACAGAGAGAGAGAGAGAGAGAGAGAGAGAGAGAGAGAGAGAGAGAGAGAGAGAGAGAGAGAGAGAGAGUAAGAUAAAUAACAACAAUUAAUAACAAACCCUAAAUCCCAGCAUCCUUUGAAAUCAUUCGCGACGGGUUUCCAUGGUAAUGAAGAAAAUCUUUCCUUACCAACCGUCCAGGAAGCAGGCUAGGCGGACGCAUUGUGUGUAGUCGUAGUACACUUCUAGUAUUGCUUCAGUAUAUUUGCGCCAUUCGGAACCAAAUUCGGCUAAACAAAUCUCAAACGACCUCAUUUCGCUUUGCCUGAUUUGCAAAUACGACCUCGUUUCCUUCGUUUGCUCUCGCUCUCUCUCUCCCCCAAUAAUCUCGAGAGCCUUUUUUCUUGUGUGGAUAAAUAAUAGAACAAGAAAUGAACAAGUCGGCUUUCCUCCCUUCCCAUUUUGUUUACUUUCAUUGAAUUAGAAGAGAGGGGGAGGAGAAGAGUGGAAGGUGGUGGAUUGAAGAACUCGUUUCGGGAAAAGGAAAUAGGUCGCAGAGAUUGUAAGCGACUGGGGAGAAAAAAAGGAAAUGCCCCCGGAAGUGUGCACACUCCAAAACACAAAACCAUCGAAAUCCGUCUCUCGCACAACACGCGUACAACACACACACACACAGAAACACAUAAGAUUGGACACUUUGUUGGCACAUUCAAUUCGUAUGUAUGGAAGAAAUGUAACAUUUCUCUAACGCGGGUUCUCUCGCUCUAACGAAAAACAGCCCCACAAAAAGCAAUCGAGGGCUUUCUUCUUGCUUUCCUUAUCAAAACGCAAAACUUUACGCCUAAUUGCUCGUCUAAACACCAACGGUCGACGAGAGUGUUCAUCGGGCUGCCUAUUAUGGUGCAUAUCAAUCAAAUGGCGAUGACGGUAAUUGGUGACGCCUACACACGGAUGAUAGAGAAAGAAUAAGGGUAACAGAAUACAGCAAAAAAAAAUUCGUUUCAAAAUCACUCUUUCUCCCCCACAGGGUUGUAGUGAUGCUGGUUGUAGUGAUUUGCGGUUUCUUCCAUUCAUUGCAUUCCCUAGAUCCUCCACAGCUGCUGUCGAUUGCAGAGUUUGAAUGAGCCAAAGCGCACCGUUGGGAAUAGAUCGAACAGAAAACGCUCAAUUAAUAUGCUCAACACGCCAGUCAGUUCGAUUUCGCAAAUCUAAAUCAAUACAGGGUUUUCCAAGGGUUCUCAUAGUUAUGGGACACUUCUUUGACUCUUUCUUGUGAGAAGUCAACUUCAUAUGAUGGAAAUUGGACUCUCUUGGUCUAAGGAUACCAUUUUUAGUACUCCCACAAAGUGUCCCACAGCUAUGAGAACUCCUGGAAAACCCUGUACAUCAAUACAAGUAUACAGACACAAGCCUUAAGCAAACACAAGCCUACAGUCAUUUAAAGGUAAUUUUCGAUUUCCUUUCGCACACCAGCAGCUUCAAAAAGCGUGUGAAAAAAGGACAUCUAAAAUUGGGGUGGCACAGCGCUGGGGGAUAUCUCUACGCUACGAUUAGCGCCAAUAAGAGAGCAUAAGCCAUAGCUGUUAAAACCGAUGCUAAUCAAAUGAUGGUGCUUAUA